rnacentral:rRNA from 1 species
UACGUAGGGUGCAAGCGUUGUCCGGAAUUAUUGGGCGUAAAGAGCUCGUAGGCGGUUUGUCGCGUCUGAUGUGAAAACUCGGGGCUUAACUCCGGGCCUGCAGUGGGUACGGGCAGACUAGAGUGCGGUAGGGGAGACUGGAAUUCCUGGUGUAGCGGUGAAAUGCGCAGAUAUCAGGAGGAACACCGGUGGCGAAGGCGGGUCUCUGGGCCGUAACUGACGCUGAGGAGCGAAAGCGUGGGGAGCGAACAGG